GAGUAACACGUGGAUAACCUACCUAUAAGACUGGGAUAACUUCGGGAAACCGGAGCUAAUACCGGAUAAUAUUUUGAACCGCAUGGGUCAAAAGUAAAAGACGGUCUUGCUGUCACUUAUAGAUGGAUCCGCGCUGCAUUAGCUAGUUGGUAAGGUAACGGCUUACCAAGGCAACGAUGCAUAGCCGACCUGAGAGGGUGAUCGGCCACACUGG
rnacentral:rRNA from 1 species